AUAGAAAGGGGGUACUCCCUCUAUAUAUAUGUAGUGGAACCUGGAAGCAUCUUUCUGUUCGAGCGGGUUGCUUCACGCGGAAAAUUAACGAAGUGGAUAGUUUAUAACUAGAACGGGGAUUUGGAUAAAAAUGUCUCGUCGAGAUUGGAGUUUCGAUUGCAAAGUAUAUGUUGGGAACCUAAACAGUGGAGCAGCCAAACAUGAAAUAGAGGCAGCUUUCAAUAAGUUUGGUCCUCUUAGAAAUGUCUGGGUUGCCCGAAACCCACCAGGAUUUGCAUUUGUUGAGUUUGAAGACAGCAGAGAUGCUGAAGAUGCAGUUCGAGCCAUGGAUGGAAUGAGAGUUUGUGGUAGCAGAAUAAGAGUGGAAAUGUCUCAUGGUCGAUCAAGAAGAGGACGUGGAGGAGGAGGUCGACGUCCACCUCCACCACCACCACCACCAAGAUUUUGCUUCAAAAUGCUUCAGUAAUGGACCUGGUCAAAACCUUGCAAGGUACUCGUCUCGACUGCAGCCUGCACAAGGUAUCUCCAACGCAGAACACUCUGUUUGAAUUAGCCCACCAAUUUCUACCAUUACACCAGUUAAUGCUGCUCAUCACUUCUUAAAAACAGAACAGCCUACAAACCACAAGGUUUCGGCAAUCAAAUGUCCACUUCUUCCUAAAAACAACAUUGCAACUGUAUCUCAAUCUAUCUUCAUUUGCAUCAUUGGUCUUCCUUGGUCUGCUACCAACCAGCAUUCCAACGUGACACUAUGUAAUCACCUAACCCACAUCUCACCCACACCGUUCAUCUUGGGUGCAUCUUGGAUGCAUCGCUUACAACAUUUCUACCAAUCUUAUCCUACACCUACCUCAGAACUUACUGGCUGUGAUCAGGGCAUAUCAAUCGCCAUUAUGCAUUUUGCCAAAGGCUUCAGUGUACGGGUAUCGAUCACCAAGGAGGCGCUAUUCGCGUAGUAGAAGUCGGAGUAGGUCUCGCAGUUCACCACGUCGCAGCCUAAGUCGAUCACCUGUCAGGAGAUAAAAAACUUGGGACAUUGUUCAAAUGAUUUUUGAGGU
rnacentral:misc_RNA from 1 species